AUUGAACGCUGGCUGCAGGCCUAACACAUGCAAGUCGAACGAGUGGCGGACGGGUGAGUAAUGUCUGGGAAACUGCCCGAUGGAGGGGGAUAACUACUGGAAACUGUAGCUAAUCCCGCAUACCAUCAGAUGUUCCCAGGUGGGAUUAGCUAGUAGGUGGGGUAACGGCUCACCUAGGCGACGAUCCCUAGCUGGUGUGAGAGGAUGACCAGCAAAGCUGGAAAGGAGACACGGUCCAGACUCCUACGUGAGGCAGCAGUGGGGAAUAUUGAACAAUGGGCGCAAGCCUGAUGCAGCCAUGCCGCGUGUAUGAAGAAGGCAUUAGGGUUGUAAAGUACUUUCAGCGAGGAGGCGUUACUCGCAGAAGAAGCACCGGCUAACUCCGUGCCAGCAGCCGCGGUAAUAC
rnacentral:rRNA from 1 species